rnacentral:rRNA from 1 species
AUGCCUGGGAGGUCGACCAUGGAAGCCAUUUUCUUGGUACAACAACUUAUGGAGAGAUAUAGGGAGCAUAAGAAGGACUUGCAUAUGGUGUUCAUUGACUUGGAGAAGGCCUAUGAUAAGAUACCGCGGAAUGUCAUGUGGUGGGCCUUGGAGAAACACAAAGUCCCAGCAAAGUACAUUACCCUCAUCAAGGACAUGUACAAUAAUGUUGUGACAAGUGUUCGAACAAGUGAUGUCGACACUGAUGACUUCCCGAUUAAGAUAGGACUGCAUCAGGGGUCAGCUUUGAGCCCUUAUCUUUUUGCAUUGGUGAUGGAUGAGGUCACAAGGGGUAUACAAGGAGAUAUCCCAUGGUGUAUGCUCUUUGCGGAUGAUGUGGUGCUAGUUGACGAUAGUCGGACGGGGGUAAAUAGGAAGUUAGAGUUAUGGAGACAAACCUUGGAAUCGAAAGGGUUUAGGCUUAGUAGAACUAAAACCGAGUACAUGAUGUGCGGUUUCAAUACUACUAGUUGUGAGGAGGAGGAGGUUAGCCUUGAUGGCCAGGUGGUACCUCGGAAGGACACCUUUCGGUAUUUGGGGUCAAUGUUGCAGGAGGAUGGGGGUAUUGAUGAAGAUGUGAACCAUCGAAUCAAAGCCGGAUGGAUGAAGUGGCGCCAAGCUUCUGGCAUUCUCUGUGACAAGAGAGUGCCACAAAAGCUAAAAGGCAAGUUCUACAGGACGGCGGUUUGA